UAAGACUGUCCUUUUUUGCAUAAGUCUCAUUAAUCAACGUCACUGCACAAUUCCCAGCAUAGGUAUGACAAAGGAAACCUGUCCCGAAUCUAUUGGUUUUCUGUCUAAGGCCUGGAAGGUUAUACAGCAUUUGAAAUUCAAAAGGAAGAUGUUGCCUGCUAUCUUGCAUAAAUCUCUAACAAUUGCAAAUGGAAUAUAUUAUCGUCAGAUCCAAUUGCUUAUAUCCAAU
rnacentral:lncRNA from 1 species